rnacentral:rRNA from 1 species
CAGAGGGUGCGAGCGUUAAUCGGAAUUACUGGGCGUAAAGCGUGCGUAGACGGCUAUCUAAGUCGGGUGUGAAAUCCCCGGGCUCAACCUGGGAACUGCAUUUGUGACUGUAGAGCUGGAGUACGGCAGAGGGGGAUGGAAUUCCGCGUGUAGCAGUGAAAUGCGUAGAUAUGCGGAGGAACAACGAUGGCGAAGGCAAUUCCCUGGGCCUGUACUGACGCUCAUGCACGAAAGCGUGGGGAGCAAACAGG